rnacentral:rRNA from 1 species
UACAGAGGAGCCAAGCGUUGUCCGGAUUGACUGGGCGUAAAGCGCACGCAGGCGGACGCGCGCGUGGGGUGUGAAAUCUGGCCGCUUAACGGCCAGGCGCCAUCCCAUACGGCGCGUCUGGAGUGAUGCAGAGGUCGGUGGAAUUGCCGGUGUAGUGGUGAAAUGCGUAGAGAUCGGCAGGAACACCCAGGGGGAAACCAACCGACUGGGCAUCUACUGACGCUGAGGUGCGAGAGCGUGGGGAGCGAACCGG